AGCGGCCAGUACGAGCCCGGAGUAGUUGCGCUCUGGCCUGGAAGCGCCGGACCCACCGGUGAGGUGUGUUGGCGGCUGGCAGAGUGAGGCUUUGGCAGACAUGGCACCCAGCGCGCUGGCUCCCGAACCGGAGAGUCAGAAGGGCAUCCGGGCCGUGUUGCUGGGGCCGCCCGGGGCUGGCAAGGGGACCCAGGCACCCAAAUUGGCUGAAAACUACUGUGUCUGCCAUUUGGCCACUGGGGACAUGCUGAGAGCCAUGGUGGCUUCGGGUUCAGAGCUGGGGAAGAAGCUGAAGGCGACGAUGGACGCUGGAAAACUGGUGAGUGAUGAAAUGGUUGUGGAGCUCAUUGAGAAGAAUUUGGAGAGUCCUUCCUGCAAAAAUGGCUUUCUUCUAGAUGGCUUCCCUCGGACUGUGAGACAGGCUGAAAUGGCUGAUUCACCCCAAGAGUGGCCGGUCCUACCACGAGGAGUUCAACCCUCCAAAGGAGCCCAUGAAAGAUGAUAUCACUGGAGAGCCCCUGAUCCGCAGGUCAGAUGACAAUGAGAAGGCCUUGAAGAUCCGCCUAGAGGCCUACCACACUCAGACCACCCCGCUCGUGGAGUACUACAGGAAACGGGGCAUUCACUGUGCCAUCGACGCGUGCCAGACCCCUGAUGUCGUGUUUGCCAGCAUCCUGGCAGCCUUCUCCAAAGCCACAUCCUAGUAAAAGAAGGCCAGGCGAGACUACACCCUGCUCAUCUCCCCGCCGCGUGAUCCCUGCUCUUAGGUGCUGGGCAGAAGGGAAAGGGGUGGUCACAGGAAGGAAGGAUGGUGAGGGAGGUGGUGAGGGGCUCAAGACGAGCAUUUGGAACGUGGCAGUGUUGUAAUUAGAAAGAUUUUUCUUAAACGCAUAGGUGGGAAUUUGUAAAGUAUAAGCAAAGGAAAAGAUUAAUUUUUUUAAAAGCUGUGAUUGGAGGGCAUCGGUGCAAAUGAGGAGCUAAGGUAUUAUUUUUUAAGCAAUCAAGCUUUCAUUUACUCUGGACCACAAAGCUAAUGCUCUUAAGAGACCUCAGCUUCUAUGUAAGAAGCUCGUGGAUCGAUCACCAAGCCAAGAAUCCAGCCAUCAGACUGGGCCUGUGUGUCCUGUGCGCAGGAGGAGCUGAGGGCUGCUGCCAGUGGUUUCCCUUUCUGGAAAGUUAGACUCAUCUGCACGUAUGGAGGAGAUGGGGAUGUGAUCUCAUGGGGGUGGUUCAGCGAAUCGUUUUUACUGGAAUUGUGGGGAGCAAGGGGAGAUAGAGCCCACACUUCUUAACCUCUUACAGUCACCUGCUCCAGCAGUAAAGCCUUCAGCGGCCACUCAGUACACAACGUUGCCUUUGUUCAUCCACGGGACCCUUUUCAGUUAGUGAACGAGGGCUAGGAACGUAGUCCAGUGGCACGUGGGCCUAGCGUUACAGGGCCCUGGGUUCAGUCCUCAACAGUGAAGGGGAAACAAAAGUUAAAAUGUCUUAAGCUAAAUCAUCCAAAGAUUGUCCUUCUCAUCCUCAAAUCCUGUGACUGGGAUCACCCGACAACACUGUGAUGUAUUUUCCAAUGAGGUGCCUUCAUAACUGACCAAAUGCUGCCGUGUUUGGCCCCUGAGUCAAUAAAGUAUGUUGAAAAUUUG